GGAGGCGGCCGGGGAGUCGCUUCGCCGCGUUUCGCGGCGGAGAGGAACCUCCGAACUCCACAGGGCGCGGCGCCCGCCGAAAGGCGGGACGCUCGGGGCGAAAGGCCCGGGCGAUGGAAAGUGCCACAGAAACAAACCGCCGGUCCCGGCUUUGCCGGGGCUGGCAAGGGUGAAAAGGCGAGGCAAGAGCUCACCGCUUCUGCCGUGAGGCAGAGGGUCCAGGCAAACCCCGCCGGGAGCAAGGCAGUAGGGCGGUUCGCGCGGCCCGCGCAACCUCGGGUGAUAGACGAGGCGGCCGCCCGGUGGCCGCAUCAGAGAAAUGAUUCCCUCGCUUCGUCCGCGCAAGCGGCGGGGCUAGACAGAAUUCGGGGUACAGGCCGCCUCCUCUG
rnacentral:RNase_P_RNA from 1 species